rnacentral:misc_RNA from 1 species
GAAAUGCGAUAAGUAAUGUGAAUUGCAGAAUUCAGUGAAUCAUCGAAUCUUUGAACGCACAUUGCGCCCGCCAGUAUUCUGGCGGGCAUGCCUGUUCGAGCGUCGUUACAACCCUCAGGCCCCCGGGCCUGGCGUUGGGGAUCGGCGGAAGCCCCCUGCGGGCACAACGCCGUCCCCCAAAUACAGUGGCGGUCCCGCCGCAGCUUCCAUUGCGUAGUAGCUAACACCUCGCAACUGGAGAGCGGCGCGGCCACGCCGUAAAACACCCAACUUCUGAAUGUUGACCUCGAAUCAGGUAGGAAUACCCGCUGAACUUAAGC